AGCCCGUCAUUCAAUGUACAGCCGUCGACGGAGUGGAAGGGAAAAACUUCUUCCCCGUACGCGCAGACGGCGUGCCGCGAGGCCCAAGAGCCCCGGGAGAGUGAAAGCACAAAUUACUGCUUAAUGGACGAAAGGGCGGCACGGAAAGAUAACGAAUGAUAGCGAGUCAGCAGCUCCGAGCUCGUUCACUUCGUCUGUUUUUCACAGCACCCGAUAAACAAGAACAGGGAUGCGCAUUUAAUUGCAGCAUUGCGGUAGCCUCUUUCUUUCCCCCCCGGAAGUUAAUAUGAGAUGCUGGAAAUAUGCAAAUCGCCUCCUUUCUUUGGAAAAGUUUUAGAAGGAUCCCUCACCACGAAUGAAUCACAGGUGGAUUGGAAAUGCAGAAGUCACAGUUUAGCUCCACUUUCGGGCUGGCUCCAUCCCACAGCUGGCAGCAUCCGAGGCCUUGUGAGUGAUAAGCGUCUGUAAAGUAGCAGCUGUUUAGGAAACCAUACCAUGUUCCAGAAGGAGAAGUCUUUUCUCUCCUCCUCCCCACUGAUUAUCAGCUUUAAUGGAUUCAUCUGUUGCGGCGACGGCAGAGGUUGCAUUUCUUUCCCCCUCAUUUGCCGACGGAGCAUUUUAAACCCAUAUGGGGUCAUUUGUUCUGAACUUGCACACGUGAUUGCUUCAAUUUUCUUUUUCCUUCAUCUGGAGAUUUUGUGCUGUCCUUUAAAGAAAAGAAGAAAAAAAAUAGAAUCUGGCAAACAUUGAUUUGGAUUAUUUUAUCUGAUUGUUUUUAAAAAAUGUUUCAGUUUCAUGUUUGUUAAAAAUGAGCCAGUUCUGUGUGUUUGCUUUAAACAUUGUCAUUUAGCUCUGAUGGAAAAAACAAAUUUGUACCUUUGAAAAAAAUGAAAAAAACCCAUAAAAACAAGGUGAAAGCAAUCAUUUUCAUGCCUGAAAUUGUGAUUUUGAUUUGUACAACCAAAACUCGCAGCUUUAUGAGUCUGCUGACAAUAACGUGAAAGCACACGUGCACAGUAUUUAUUUUAUUUUAUUUUAUUUUUUUGCAGCUUUUGUGUUUGACUGCAGCAUUAGAAUUGCUAAUAAGCCUCCGUCCAGUGUCCUCCUGUCCCCUGGACAUCAAAUACAAACAUCUGUUCCACCUCAAAGCCCCCGGCAGAUAAACAGCUUUGAUGUUAUAGUAACAGAGUUUUACUAAAAAUUUGUUGCCCAGCUGCUGCAACUAACUUUAAUUCUAGAAUAAAAAAUUACAAAUGAACACAAAAUGCCCUCGGGGAGACGUUAGCGCCCGGCUCUGACCAAAUAUUCAUGAGGGGCAGAUGAGUGAAUUUGUUCAACCCUCAAGCCACAGAGAUGAGCUUCUGCUGAUGAGCGGUGUUUAAUUCCCACCACCGACCUGCUGGGGGCAGCGGUGCACGUGACCUGCCUUUAAACUGCUGCAAAUCAUCGGUGGAAACGGCGCUGAAGGAGGAACGGUGAAGGAAAACUAAACAGUUUAUUUUUUAGUAAGUAGUGAGUCACCUGGCAGGCUGGUAUUUUAAUGAGGACAUCCAGUCAAAGAUUUGUUUGCACAUAUCUUUGUCAUUUUGUAGAUGUUUUUUUUUUUCUUUUUCCUUUUUGAAAAACUUUUUUUUUUAAAUGAAAAAUGUAUGAAAAGUAUUAUUUGCCAACUCUUUGUAAAUAUUCGCCACCCUCAUGUUGGACUGAAUAAAAAGAUGCAUCAACGUUUAUCAUUAGGUGACCAAAUGUAAAAAAAAAAAAAAAGUAUAAAGAGUAU